GACAAGUGGUUUAGUGGUAAAAUCCAACGUUGCCAUCGUUGGGCCCCCGGUUCGAUUCCGGGCUUGCG
rnacentral:tRNA from 1 species